UACAACAUAGUGUUAAUGCACUAGAUUGCAUUAGAAUUCUGCAGUUAAGUGCGCUCAGGCUAGAGUAGUACUGGGAUGGAUGACCGCCCAGGAAGUCCUAGUGUUUUAC
rfam:Picea glauca, whole genome shotgun sequence.